CACAUGGCUAAAUUUUGUUUACUCCAAUAGAUAAUCUAAGGAAAGUUGUGGACCAAAAUUUGGGUAAAGCAGUCUCUAUGACAGUUUGUUUUAAAAAGCCUCUUUUACCCGUUGUUUCCUUCAGUUUCAAAUGAGUUUCCAAUGUUUAUAUUUCAGUUAGACCAUAAAUAAUGAGUCUUACCUCAGCACCAACAGCUUAGUAGCAACAGAUUCAAAGCAGGCAGAAGAGAGGAAGAUAGUAUUAGAAGACUCAACUUAACUCCAUAGUUGCAAGUCAACAGCCAGAGUGCCAGAAACCAGAUUCUUUGGGACUCCAGCCCAAACCAGUCUGCCUGAUUCUUCGGGACUGAAACCCAAACCAGACCACGUAGGCCAGGGGAGGGAUGCAACCUGUCCUGCUGCCUGCCAGGUUAAUCAGACCCUGGGGGAAACUGUUUUAAUUCAUCUCUCACAGAUGUUUAUUAAGGCAAUCCAAAAUAGUUAAACUAUGGGGAAAGUGAAGAAAAAACAAAAGGAGUGCUGAAAGGAGCAAAUGAAGAUAGAAAGGAAAAGAGAACAUUGUUUAUGGGUGAGCAAGGAGCCCCGUGAAACCAGAGGAAGACUUACCAUUUGUGGUGACACUGAAUCAAAGGUUCAGGUACCUCCUCAUUAACUGCAAAAAGGGGUCACAUCAACCAGUCCUGCUAGCUCUCAACCCCCCAGAAUAAGUACAAAAAUCCUCACAAUC
rnacentral:lncRNA from 1 species